rnacentral:tRNA from 1 species
GGGCCUAUGGUCUAGUGGUUAGGACGUCGCGUUUACACCGCGAAGAUCGCUGGUUCGAAUCCGGCUGGGCCCA